rnacentral:rRNA from 1 species
UACGUAGGGUGCAAGCAUUAAUCGGAAUUACUGGGCGUAAAGCGUGCGCAGGCGGUUUUGUAAGUCAGAUGUGAAAUCCCCGGGCUUAACCUGGGAACUGCGUUUGAAACUACAAGGCUAGAGUGUGACAGAGGGGGGUGGAAUUCCACGUGUAGCAGUGAAAUGCGUAGAGAUGUGGAGGAAUACCGAUGGCGAAGGCAGCCCCCUGGGAUAACACUGACGCUCAUGCACGAAAGCGUGGGGAGCAAACAGG